GAUGGCUAGCAAUGGUCACAGGCGGCCAAGUUGGAUGUUGAUGUUGAGUUACAAAAACUGAGAAGACUAGCUAGUGGCUACUGCCUUAGCCUGCUCUCUGUGGCAAAAUGGAAGCUCCAAGUUUUAAGAAAAACUUAGCUGAAUAAUGGUUCACAGCAAAGAUAAACGGCAUGAAGAGCAGAAACUAUCCACAAUGCUACUGUACCUCUCCAGCCUGAGGGAUGGCAGAACAGCCUCUGAUUCGGAUUGGUCGGUGGCGACGCUGCCGUUCAGCUCGCCCAGUCCUGUUUGCUCCUGGAUGUCCGUCAUCUCUCCCACGAUGAAGGUUGGCUCCCC